UUGCUUUGGCAGCACGCAGCACAUACAUUAAAAUUGGAAUGAUACAGAGAAGAUCAGCAUGAUCCUUGCAUAAGGAUGACACGCAAAUUCAAAGAACACAUAUUCAAAUAA